AGUGAACGCUGGCGGUAGGCCUAACACAUGCAAGUCGAACGGCAGCACAGUAAGAGCUUGCUCUUACGGGUGGCGAGUGGCGGACGGGUGAGGAAUACAUCGGAAUCUACUUUUUCGUGGGGGAUAACGUAGGGAAACUUACGCUAAUACCGCAUACGACCUACGGGUGAAAGCAGGGGAUCUUCGGACCUUGCGCGAUUGAAUGAGCCGAUGUCGGAUUAGCUAGUUGGCAGGGUAAAGGCCCACCAAGGCGACGAUCCGUAGCUGGUCUGAGAGGAUGAUCAGCCACACUGGAACUGAGACACGGUCCAGACUCCUACGGGAGGCAGCAGUGGGGAAUAUUGGGCAAUGGGCGCAAGCCUGAUCCAGCCAUACCGCGUGAGUGAAGAAGGCCUUCGGGUUGUAAAGCCCUUUUGUUGGGAAAGAAAAACAGCGGGUUAAUACCCCGCUGUUCUGACGGUACCCAAAGAAUAAGCACCGGCUAACUUCGUG
rnacentral:rRNA from 1 species